AAAAUGAUGAGAAUUAUAUCAGUUUGUCAAAAAAUAGAAUUACUUGAGAGUAAAAACCUACUUGUCUAUGCGUAUGAUAUAAUGGUAAUUGGUGGUUCAUGUGUAGAAGUUAUAACAAAAAUGGCAGACUUUGUAUUGGCACUUAAGCCUAUAGGCCACGAGGUUAAAAUUAGUUAAAUCUAAGGGUUUCAGCAGCUAAUAAAGAUUAUUUUACAUUGGGAAAAUGAUUAAAUCCAAGUUAUUAUCUAUAAGAUCAAAAUUAACCCUUUACUCAAGCUAUCUAUGACCAGAAUAUCAUAGAUGCAAAACAUGGUUGGUUAUAAAGAGUGAUAAAGAAAAAUACUGUGAUA